GACGAACGCUGGCGGCGUGCCUAAUACAUGCAAGUUGAGCGCUGAAGGUUGGUACUUGUACCAACUGGAUGAGCAGCGAACGGGUGAGUAACGCGUGGGGAAUCUGCCUUUGAGCGGGGGACAACAUUUGGAAACGAAUGCUAAUACCGCAUAAAAACUUUAAACACAAGUUUUAAGUUUGAAAGAUGCAAUUGCAUCACUCAAAGAUGAUCCCGCGUUGUAUUAGCUAGUUGGUGAGGUAAAGGCUCACCAAGGCGAUGAUACAUAGCCGACCUGAGAGGGUGAUCGGCCACAUUGGGACUGAGACACGGCCCAAACUCCUACGGGAGGCAGCAGUAGGGAAUCUUCGGCAAUGGACGAAAGUCUGACCGAGCAACGCCGCGUGAGUGAAGAAGGUUUUCGGAUCGUAAAAAUCUGUUGGUAGAGAAGAACGUUGGUGAGAGUGGAAAGCUCAUCAAGUGACGGUAACUACCCAGAAAGGGACGGUUAACUACGUG
rnacentral:rRNA from 1 species